CACUUCUUCUCUCUCCUAAAACAAAACCUUAUUGUAAACUUGUUUGGGAGAGAUACUGUUUGGGAUAAACACGUCGAUGAGACCAGGAAUGACGAGCAGAUUGGGAUAAACACGUUGAUGAGACCAGGAAUGACGAGCAGAUAUCUGAUGGCGGAGUUCUGCGAACCGGUGUGUUCCGUAAAAGCCUAGUGCGCGGAAGAAUCCUACUCGUCUGCGAUGUUGUCAUUCGCGAGGCCAAUUUCCUAUAAAAGGCCAAAGGCCAUUCCGGCUAGAGGUCAAGAGGCGAGGAGACCCGGUCGACGACAGUUGACAAGACGUGCUCUCCAGCACGAGAAUCUAGGCAUGACAGCCACGCUUUCCCCAGAACCUUGGCGUAACACGCAAGAUCUCGCAGAAUCAUGACAGCCACGCUUUCCCCAGAACCGUGGCGUAACACGCAAAGUCUCACAGAGCCAUGACAGCCACGCUUUCCCCUGAACCGUGGCGUAACACGCUAGGUCCCACGUUGGCCCAUAACGCAGCAGGGGGAGUCCCAUACCGUGGGAAAAAGAGCGGAAGACUGAGAUUCAGAGGAAGCCUAUAAAAAGGUAGCCAACGAAGGUAAAAGGGUUGGCAUUUUUGGAGAUAGAGGGAAAAACCACGAAAAAGCCAUAAGACCUGUGGCAAGCGUUCCCUGAACCUUCAUAUCUGACUUGAGCGUCGGAGGAUUUGCGCCGGGGGAACAACCGGCGUACUCUGACUUGUCUGUUUGUGCAGGGACAUCUGGAGAAGAAGCAUUACUAGGAGACCUCCUGGUCGUGGUGAAGUUGAUCGAGCAGGGAUCCUGGUCGUGGAACGAGGAGAACCGGAAUCUCGCAUCAACAUUUUGGCGCCGUCUGUGGGGAACAGAGCAAAAAGCUUCUGUCGAUAGCAAGAAGAGGGGGGGAUUAAGCGAAAAGCAAUGGAGAUAGGAGGAAGUAGCGCACAAGGGGGUGACAUGAGGCUUAACGAUUCCGUGACGCUGAGGGAGGUAAUCAGCGAAGCACGGGAAAAAGUCACGUUCGACCGGAUGGAACGAAUGGAAAAGCAGAUGGAAACCUUGACAACCAUCCUGCAUGAGCUGCGGAACGAGCGAAGGGUAACCCAAGAGGGAAGGGUGAGAGGCGGUGGAGCGGCACCAGGUACCGAUAGUGCGGAAAGAAGUCAAACCGCAGGGAGAUUUGGUGGUGAGAGAGGUAACGUACCUGUGCGGGGAGAAUUUCGUAGAGAAAGAGAGCAGUCCCCGGCAAGACAGACUUGUGACGAGGGCGACGGGGUGGUGAAUGCAGAGGAAACAGAACUGAGGCAACACUUGCAUGAUGUAGAGCAAGAGCGGGAUCAAGCUGCAGCACGUGACCCUGGUCGUGCAGGGCAGCUGGAGGAGGAAGUGCGAAGGCUAGCGCAAAUAAUUGACGACAUGCAAGGGAGGAACAGAGCCCCUGGUUGGAGGAUAAUGCUGGACGGAGAAUCACCGCUCGCAGCAGAGAUCAUGAGGGCGGUUAUUCCGAGAGAUUUCCGCCUCCCCGACCUCAGAUACUCGGGAAGAACUGAUCCGCUGAUGCACAUAGAGCGCUUCAACGACAUAACGGGGGUACAGGGAUUAUCUCCAUCCCAGAGGUGCAGGGUGUUCCCACUAUCCCUUGAGGGACGUGCACGAGAAUGGUACAGAAAACUUCCUCGGGGCAGCAUUAAAACCUUCGAGCAGAUGUGCCAGGAAUUCGCAGAGCAGUUUAGUGGGGCAAUGUCACCGGAAGAUGACAUGAUGGAGCUGAAGAGCAUGAAACAGGGGGAGCAAGAAACCCUCCGGGAAUUCAUCAAGAGGUUUCAUCGGGCUGUCCUCGACUUGGGAGCCUUCAACCACCCUCAGGCGUUAAGGGGAUUGAAAGAAGGGGUGAAGAUAGGAAGGCUGUGGUACAAUUUGAGAAGCCCCGCUAUUCAAACGUAUGCAGCCGCAUACGAACAGGCUAAAAGAGACAUCGAGAUCGAGGAGGAGAAGGCUGCACGGAUCAAGACCGACCAGUUGGAAGGGUUAGGGAGGAAAGAGAAGAAAGCAUUACCAGACAAUGGCCCGAUCAGGAGGAGGGACCACCAGGUCUCCGGUAGUGGAGCAGGAGGUAGGGUAAUGGCUUACCAGCCUCAUCAGAGGCCGCCACAGUAUGAGCGCAGCAGGGCGCCACCUCCUCGUUCCCCAGCUAGGGAGCCGUGGAGAAGGCAUGAUUCGGCAUCCGGUGGUCUUCAUCAACAUUCCCACGGUAGCAGGACGAGCAGACCAGAAGCACUUCCGCCGCCCCCAACUCACAGUGGGGCAAACAGAGAAAGAGCAGUGCAUCUGGUCGACCAGAACCAGGACUAUGGGCGGUACACUCCCUUGAAGAUGCCCCUGGAUGAGGUGUACGAGGCCAUAAAGGAUCGAGGGCUGCUGCACCUCCCUGCACCAAUAACAAAGCUACCCAACAGGAGGGAUAGAGGACGCUAUUGUAACUUCCAUGGCACCCAUGGCCAUACCACGGCAGAGUGUAGAGAUCUCAAGACCCAGGUCGAAGAUUUGGUGAGAAAUCGGUACCUGGACGAGUUUAUGGAUGGGACUUUUCCGAUGGUGGCCACAACAGAGGAAGGGGAGCAGAGUGAUAGAAUCUUGAGACGCGAGCAGCCCGCAGUAAGGGUGAUAGCGGGGGGCCCAACGUUGGCCGGAGACUCGAACAGAUCGAGAAAAAAUUACACCAGAUACGCCAUGACCAGUAAAGAGAUACUCUUCAACGCCCCAGCAGCCAAACGAGCAAGGGUCAGACAAGUGCCAAUCAUGUGGACCGAUGAGGAUGAGGAAGGGAUUCUAUACCCCCACGAGGAUGCUUUAGUCAUCAAGGCUACGGUCGCUAGCAAGAAAUUUGACAGGAUACUGGUUGAUACGGGGAGCUCAGUUGAUGUGUUAUUUAAGUCAACUUUGGAAGAGAUGGGAAUAGCCGACCGAAAGUUGGAACACACCAACACCUCCUUGAAGGGGUUCGGAGGAGGGAAGCUGGUCCCUCUGGGCGUGGUCGAACUUCCUAUCACAAUCGGGAGCCCCCGACAGAAAGAACAAUGAUGCUGGACUUCGUCGUAGUGGAUGAGGAAGGCCCUUACCAGAUGAUCCUAGGUCGGCCAUUUUUAAGGAUGAGCAAAGCGGUGUUGUCCAACCAUUAUCUAGCUCUGAAGUACCGGGUGAAUGGGGUAGUCGGAGUGGUACGAGGAGACCAGAGGAUCGCAAGAAGCUGCUACUCCUCGGCAGCAAGGGAGGCGAUGCAGAUAACAUCCCUCGAUACCCGAGUGGAAAGCAAGACUGGCAGACAAGAACCCGUAGAGGACCUGGAGACAGUAAGCAUGGGACCAGAGAACCCGGGAAAGACGAUCAGAAUCGGGUCGAGACUUAAGGGAGAGCAAAAGCGGGAGUUGGUGAAAUGCUUACAGGCUCAUGCUGACGUGUUUGCCUGGACACAUGAAGACAUGCCAGGGAUUGACCCAGAGGUAGCAUGUCAUAAGCUGGCAAUAAAGAAAGGUGCUCGGGCAGUAAGGCAGAAGAGGAGGUGCUUCAACCAGGAGAGGUAUGAGGCUGUAAAUGAUGAGGUGGAGAAGCUUCUGAGAGCAGGGUUCAUUCAGGAAGUCAAUUACCCGGAGUGGAUAUCAAAUGUGGUGUUGGUAAAGAAGGCAAGCGGCAAGUGGAGGAUGUGUGUGGAUUUCACAGACCUCAAUAAGGCGUGCCCAAAAGACAGCUUCCCUUUACCAAAGAUCGAUCAGCUAGUAGACUCGACGGCUGGACAUGGUCUGCUUAGCUUCAUGGACGCAUUCUCGGGAUACAACCAGAUCCCCAUGUACGAGGAGGAUGAGGAAAGCACGGCUUUCAUCACUAACCAAGGUUUGUUCUGUUACAGGGUGAUGCCAUUCGGUCUCAAGAAUGCUGGGGCCACCUAUCAGAGGCUGGUGAAUAAAAUCUUUAAGCCCUUGAUCAGGAAAACCAUGGAGGUGUACGUGGACGACAUGAUCACCAAGUCCAAGAUCCCGAAGGAACAUGUCAGACAUCUCGAGGAGACGUUCGAGCUUUUGAGGAAGUAUAAGAUGAAGCUCAACCCGGAGAAGUGUGUUUUUGGGGUCGAGUCAGGGAAAUUCCUGGGAUUCAUGGUGAGCCAUAGGGGGAUCGAAGCAAAUCCCGAGAAGAUCCAGGCGAUCGUGCAAAUGACGCCUCCUCGAAACCUGAGGGAGAUGCAGAGCCUCACGGGGAGGUUGGCGGCGUUGAGCAGAUUCAUAUCCAAGGCUACAGAUAAGUGUCAGCCAUUCUUUCAAGUGAUAAGGAGGGGAAAGAAAACGGAAUGGACCCCGGAAUGCGAGGAAGCCUUCCGGAACUUGAAGCAAUACUUGCAGCAAGCUCCGCUACUGUCCACACCGAGGGAUGGAGACAAGCUGAAUUUGUAUUUGGCGGUAUCGGAUCGGGCCGCCAGUUCCGUUCUGGUGAGAGAGGAAGAAGGAGUUCAGUAUCCGAUAUACUACACCAGCAAGGCCCUGCUCGACGCUGAGACCAGAUACCCACCGUUGGAGAAAUGGGCACUUGCCCUUGUGGUUGCUGCUCGGAAGUUGAGGCCAUACUUUCAAGCAUUCCCGGUCUCGGUAAUAACCAACCAGCCAUUGCGUCAAAUUCUGCACAAGCCAGAUGCCUCUGGUCGGCUCGUCAAGUGGGCUGUAGAGCUGAGCGAAUUCGACAUGGACUAUAAACCCCGCGCGGCGAUAAAGGCCCAGGCAAUGGCCGAUUUUGUAGCUGAGUUCGCGGAGCCCGAAGUAUGCUUAGAUCAACAAGGUGCAGAUAUAGGCGACGACGAAACUCAAGUAUGGCAGAUAUUUGUGGAUGGGUCAUCAGGGGAGCGGGGUUCAGGAGCAGGGAUUGUCCUGGAAGGCCCAGAGGGGGAGGAGAUCUCUUAUGCUGUAAAGUUGGAAUUUGCAGCCACAAAUAACCAGGCAGAAUAUGAAGCCUUGAUAGCGGGUUUGGAAUUGGCUAGGGCCGUGAGAGCAGACAGAGUUAGGAUCAGAACUGAUUCCCAGCUGGUUGCGAAUCAUGUCAGUGAAAGAUUCCAACCAAGAGAGGAGAAGAUGGAACAGUACCUAAAGAGAGUCAGGCAGAUGAUGGGGAAGUUCAAAGCAGUGGAGGUGAUACAAAUCUCCCGGGAGCAGAAUAGUCGAGCAGACAUUUUGGCCAGGAUGGCAGCCGUAGCCGACCCAAAAAUGCCAAAAUCGGUCCCCCUAGAAGUGAAGUCUCACCCGAGUAUCGAGCAAAAUUUGGGGGUGUUGCGGAUAGAACAAAAAGGCUCGUGGAGGGACCCGAUAGUUUCAUACCUUAGAGACGGGGUCUUACCACCAGACAAGCUGCGAGCCCGGAAGAUUAGGGCUCAGGCCUCGAGGUACACGAUGAUCGAUGGGGUACUGUAUCGGCGAGGAUAUACAUUACCAUUCCUUCGGUGUUUGGACGAGGACGACGCCGAUUACGUGCUGAGGGAAGUACAUGAAGGAAUUUGCGGAAAUCAUUCUGGCGGGAGGUCCCUGGCCCACAAGGUUCUAAGGCAGGGAUAUUUUUGGCCGACGAUGCACCAGGAUGCGCAAAGGAAGACCAGGAGCUGUGCAAGCUGCCAGAGUUUUGCAAACUUCCCUAACCAACCACCAGAGAAGCUCACCUCCAUGGCCUCCCCUUGGCCAUUCGCUCAAUGGGGAAUCGAUCUAAUCGGCCCACUGCCAAAGGGACGAGGAGCAGCAACACAUGCAAUAGUUGCUAUAGAUUACUUCACGAAGUGGAUAGAGGUAGAAGCCCUUAGCAGGAUCACAGAGAAGAAAACCACAGACUUCGUGUGGAGAAACCUGGUCUGUCGAUACGGGAUCCCAUAUGCCUUGGUAACGGAUAAUGGCAGGCAGUUCGAUAAUCACAGCUUCAGGGAUUUCUGCCAGAACCUUGGGAUAGAACUGAAGUAUUGCUCGCCUGCUCACCCUCAAUCGAAUGGACAAGUAGAAGCAGCCAACAAGACCGUCAAGAGGCUUCUGAAAACCAGGCUUGGAGCAAAAAAUGGUGCGUGGGUUGACGAGCUGCCAGGUGUGCUAUGGGCAUACAGAACAACCCACAAGACCGCAACUGGGGAGACACCAUUCGCUUUGGCUUUCGGACAUGAAGCGGUCGUGCCGGCCGAGAUAGGAACGACCACACACCGGACAGAGCACUUCAAUGAGCAGGAGAACGACGAGCAGAUAUGUUUAAAUCUUGAUCUGCUAAUGGAGAGGAGGGAACAAGCAGCCGAGCGAUCAGGCACUUACCAACAGAGGGUUGCUCGGUAUUAUAACCAGAAGGUGAACAUACGGCAAUUCAGGGUCGGAGACUGGGUACUGAGAAGAGUGAAUCAGAGCACCAAAGAUUCGACUCAAGGAGUGCUGGGACCGAAUUGGGAAGGGCCGUAUAGAGUCAAGCAGAUAGCGGGACCCGGAGCUUACAAGCUGGUUCGCGCGGACGGCCACGAAGUGAAACGCCCAUGGAACGCAGCACACCUCCGGAAAUACUUCCAGUAAGACUUGUUCACAUCUGAAAGCUGUUUUUGCUCAUGUUCAUUAUCGUUCACUUUUCACGCUUUAUGUCCGAACAAUUUCAUGUAAGUCAAAUCCUGCCAUCAAUGGAACGUUGACGAAUCUCAUUCGCUUGAAACCGAGAAAAUCCUAAGGCAUGCAAAGGCUCGCCAAGUCUCAGAGCCUGUCUUAUGGCGAGACAGAAGCCAAGCAUGCCAGGAUCUGCUCGGCCACGAGAAGGCAGCAGAAUCCAAAUCGUUUGAAGAAAAUCCUAAGGCAUGCAAAGGCUCGCCAAGUCUCAGAGCCUGUCUUAUGGCGAGACAGAAGCCAAGCAUGCCAGGAUCUGCUCGGCCACGAGAAGGCAGCAGAAUCCAAAUCGUUUGAAGAAAAUCCUAAGGCAUGCAAAGGCUCGCCAAGUCUCAGAGCCUGUCUUAUGGCGAGACAGAAGCCAAGCAUGCCAGGAUCUGCUCGGCCACGAGAAGGCAGCAGAAUCCAAAUCGUUUGAAGAAAAUCCUAAGGCAUGCAAAGGCUCGCCAAGUCUCAGAGCCUGUCUUAUGGCGAGACAGAAGCCAAGCAUGCCAGGAUCUGCUCGGCCACGAGAAGGCAGCAGAAUCCAAAUCGUUUGAAGAAAAUCCUAAGGCAUGCAAAGGCUCGCCAAGUCUCAGAGCCUGUCUUAUGGCGAGACAGAAGCCAAGCAUACCAGGAUCUGCUCGGCCACGAGAAGGCAGCAGAAUCCAAAUCGUUUGAAGAAAAUCCUAAGGCAUGCAAAGGCUCGCCAAGUCUCAGAGCCUGUCUUAUAGCGAGACAGAAGCCAAGCAUGCCAGGAUCUGCUCGGCCACGAGAAGGCAGCAGAAUCCAAAUCGUUUGAAGAAAAUCCUAAGGCGUGCAAAGGCUCGUCGGAACCUGCUCGUGUAAGACAAAGACAAGCAGACUCUCGAACAAAAAAUAAUUCAUAUACACGAGAAAGUAAUCAACAACAUUUUUAUUAAUGUGUUAAUGGCUAACAAAGGAAAUUUCAUAAACGUUGUUCAUUACAAUACAAAAAGAAAUAUAUCACAAAGAUGGUGGAUCAGUGAGCCGAGUAGCAUCGGUCGGCUGGACCUCCUCGGGUGCAGGGGGGGUAUCACCAGUUGCGUCCGGGGGGGUGCUCGCCUCGCCGACAUCAGCAGGGACUACACGAGGAGGAGAGUUUUCCUCCUCGAUCACGAUCGGCUCUACCCCUUCGGUAUCUUCCUUGGCCGCCUCCUCAUCCAUAUGCUGGGCAACACCAGCUGCAAGGUCUUCCAUCUUCAGGUCAGGGUGUUGCUUCGCAAGGACGGCCAUGAUGCAACGAUAGGAAUGCCGAAGUCCCUGGUCGUACUGGUUGUCGGCCUCCCUCUCCAAGUUCUCGACUUGAGCUCGAUGGUUCUCGACCUGAGCUCGGUGGGAGUCGCGGAGAGAUUCGAGCUGAGCCUCAUACAUAGCCUUCUGCCUUUGCAGAUCCUCCUUGACUUUGGUAAGCUCCUCCACAAGGGUAAUGGCUUUUGCUUGAGCAAGUGAUUCUUGCUCUACCAGCUUCAGGUUCUCAAGAUUCAGCUCCCCUGCUUUCUUCUCGGCAACGUCAGCCCUGGUCGUCGCCGACUGAAUGUCUCCCUUCAUCUUCCGGUCGUAACGGCCCACCUUAGCCUUAUAAUAGGUGGCCAUGCAGCUGAGGUGGAAGGCGCUAUGCUGAAUGGCCCCCACCAGCUCGCCCAAGGUGCGGCCAUCAAAGUCCUCCAGCUCCUCCUUGCUCACGAGUUUAGCCAGCUCAUUGAGGUAAGGGACCAGAGGUUCUGCUCGGCUGUCAGGUAAGCGAGGUCGAGGCCCGACAGGAGGAGAAGAGGUAGCGGGAUCUGUGGCUGCCCCACUAGCUUCCCCAACUUUUACAGGAGCAGGAGGUAAAAUCUUCAAGGGUGGGGCCUGCUGCACGAUGUUGGCCCGCUUUGCAGUAGGGGCAUCCUCACUCUCGUCCCUCUUCGUGGUUGGAGGUCGAGAACGUUUUCGGGUCAGAGCCCCAAUCACAGCGUCCUCCAUCUUAUGGCCAGGAAGUAUCAAGCGAGACUCGAGCAAGUUGUAUGUACUUAGCAGCUCUCGGAUCGAGCAAGAAUUGGCCAGCACCGCUUCGACCCGUUUGAGCUGUUCAGGUCCGAGCGCGAAGUGGACACCCCAAGAAACUACAAUACAAACAAGACGCUUGGUUAGAAACAAGCCAACAAAACAAGAACAAGUAUGGAUACAAGGCAUCUGAAGCGAGCAGGCAACCUGGGACCGUGAAACGGGGAGGGACCCGAUAAUCCUUCCCGUCCGUUUGUGCGACCUGACCCCACGGACCCCCAGCAAAAAAGAACUUUCUCUUCCAAUUCCCGCCACCACCAGUAGGGAGGUCGGUUAUAGGUUUCCUGCUCUUGGUGCUAGAUUGGAAGUAGUACCAGCCGGCAUCUUUGGGGCUGCUCUUUAGCUGGUACAGGUGCUUCACCUCAUCAACCGUGGGCUCGCUUUGGCAACAUCUGUCCCACAAAAUGAACAGACCAGAGAGCACUCUCCACCCAUUGGGAUUCAGCUGACCAGGAGCCAGAUUUAGCCCGUUAAGUAUCCGGGCAAAGUAAGGCUGCAAGGGACACCUCAGCCCGUACUUAAAGCUGUCCAGAUACAGGGUAACAUGUCCCCUCGGAGGGUGGCUGGGAGCAUCCUUCUUUCCUGGGACCUUGAGAUGUAUUUCACCAGGAAUGCUAUACCUCAGCCGGAGGUCCUCGAGCUCAUCAAACGUGGUCGUGCACGUCAUGUAAUCAAUAGCGUAGUCCCGCGAUAGGGCUCUACCUCCUAUUCUACUCCUCCUUUCUGGUCGCGGCGCUCCUGAGGGGGACGCCUCACCAGAAUCAUCCCCUUGACCCUCACUCAAGGUGUUCUCCGAUCCAGAAGAUCCUUCUUCAUUGCUACUGUCGCUCGAGGAGGUUGUUUGGGGAGACAUCCUCCUAGCGCUAGUACCAGCACUAGACCUAAGGGGCUCUAAGGGGAUCCCGGGAUCAAGAGCGGGAUCAGCGAGCAGACUAGGUGGGAAGUCCAACUCGUCGUCAUCAACCUCAAUGACCUUCUCUUUGCCUUUCGACAUUCCCUAAACUCUAACUACAACGCCACCAACUACUACCCAAACGAAAGAAAAAAGAAGUUAUCUACAAACUAUCCGAGACCGAGGAGAGAGAAGUAAUACCUGAAGUACUGCUCCAAUCGGAGAAAGGCAAGGAUGGGGGCUUUGUGCCGGAACUUCUUCGCCGGAGAAACAGAGACGGAGACGGAGUGAAUUGUGAAUAUGUCGUUCGAGAGGAUUCGGCUUUCCAAAUGAGGACAGACUCUUGGGUUGCCAGCAUAUAACCGCGCCGAAUCCCGAGGAUCUGGUAGCCGUCGAUUUGAAAUUCAAAUGGAGGGCGGGAUUUCUGCCACGUCACCUCGUCCGCAAUUAAAUGCGACAUGACUCUUGGCAGCCUUUUCCAAUCCCACGCGAGCGAGUACUAUCGAGUUUCUACUGCUGGUCCACUACAUUACCCAACACCAGAAACUGGGGGACCGGUGUUUGGGAGAGAUACUGUUUGGGAUAAACACGUCGAUGAGACCAGGAAUGACGAGCAGAUUGGGAUAAACACGUUGAUGAGACCAGGAAUGACGAGCAGAUAUCUGAUGGCGGAGUUCUGCGAACCGGUGUGUUCCGUAAAAGCCUAGUGCGCGGAAGAAUCCUACUCGUCCGCGAUGUUGUCAUUCGCGAGGCCAAUUUCCUAUAAAAGGCCAAAGGCCAUUCCGGCUAGAGGUCAAGAGGCGAGGAGACCCGGUCGACGACAGUUGACAAGACGUGCUCUCCAGCACGAGAAUCUAGGCAUGACAGCCACGCUUUCCCCAGAACCUUGGCGUAACACGCAAGAUCUCGCAGAAUCAUGACAGCCACGCUUUCCCCAGAACCGUGGCGUAACACGCAAAGUCUCACAGAGCCAUGACAGCCACGCUUUCCCCUGAACCGUGGCGUAACACGCUAGGUCCCACGUUGGCCCAUAACGCAGCAGGGGGAGUCCCAUACCGUGGGAAAAAGAGCGGAAGACUGAGAUUCAGAGGAAGCCUAUAAAAAGGUAGCCAACGAAGGUAAAAGGGUUGGCAUUUUUGGAGAUAGAGGGAAAAACCACGAAAAAGCCAUAAGACCUGUGGCAAGCGUUCCCUGAACCUUCAUAUCUGACUUGAGCGUCGGAGGGUUUGCGCCGGGGGAACAACCGGCGUACUCUGACUUGUCUGUUUGUGCAGGGACAUCUGGAGAAGAAGCAUUACUAGGAGACCUCCUGGUCGUGGUGAAGUUGAUCGAGCAGGGAUCCUGGUCGUGGAACGAGGAGAACCGGAAUCUCGCAUCAACAAAACUCAUCUUCUCUUCUCUCUCCAUUAGAUCUAAACUCACACACUCGUCCAUGGCUUUUUCUCCUUUUUUUUUUUUCCAACAAAUAUUCAUCAUCACUGAAUAUUGAAUAAGAUUUUUGUUGCUGCUCUCUCUCUCUCGGUAGCUGCCGCUCAGCUCUGUCUCUCUCUCUACCGCUGCUGUUGUUCUAUCUCUGCUCCUGCUGCUUUCACUCUCUUCAUCACUGUCGCUGCUCUCUCUGCUGUUUCGACUCUUCUCAACUGCUGCUGCUACUACUCUGUAAUUCAAUAAUUAUUUUAUUUAAAUUGUUGUAAUAUCAUCUUAAUUAUAGUUGAAGAAAAAUGACGAUGUAAAACUUUUUUCAGUAAUGCUAAUUGUAAGUUAAUUAUGGUCCGUUUGUCUAUGUAAUUCUAUGAUUUAAUAAUUUAAAAAUUGUUUAAUUUUAAAUUAUUUGUUUAGUUAAUGGAGAUUAAAUAAAAAAUUAC
rnacentral:lncRNA from 1 species